AAGUCGUAACAAGGUUUCCGUAGGUAAACCUGCGGAAGGAUCAUUAACACGUAUCCAACGUUAAACCCCCCUGUGAACUUUUACACUCGCUCCCGUGGCCUGCUAAAAUUGCAAUCCCUGGUAAAUCAUUGUUGAACAGUUGGGUAGGUUUCGAUCGAGCGAUCGUUGCAAGUGACCUGGUUUCCCGAAGCAUCAUGUCUGAAAGUGUCAUUGUUGUGGAAGGAUAACGCUUUUCGAUCACUGCCCGAACACCGGCCAGUGGACGGGUCGCAGCGGCUUCGGCCUGGGCAACAAAACGAACAACUGUUAACAAUGGAUAUCUUGGUUCUC
rnacentral:misc_RNA from 1 species